AGGACGAACGCUGGCGGCGUGCUUAACACAUGCAAGUCGAACGGUGAACCCCUUCGGGGGGGAUCAGUGGCGAACGGGUGAGUAACACGUGAGCAACCUGCCCCUGACUCUGGGAUAACCCCGGGAAACCGGAGCUAAUACCGGAUAUGACACCUUCGGGCAUCCGAUGGGUGUGGAAAGAUUUAUCGGUUGGGGAUGGGCUCGCGGCCUAUCAGCUUGUUGGUGGGGUAAUGGCCUACCAAGGCGACGACGGGUA
rnacentral:rRNA from 1 species